CGGAGCGAAUCUCAAAAAGCCGUCCCAGUUCGGAUUGCAGGCUGCAACCCGCCUGCAUGAAGUUGGAAUCGCUAGUAAUCGCGGAUCAGCAUGCCGCGGUGAAUACGUUCCCCGGGCCUUGUACACACCGCCCGUCACACCAUGAGAGUCGGGAACACCCGAAGUCCGUAGCCUAACCGCAAGGGGGGCGCGGCCGAAGGUGGGUUCGAUAAUUGGGGUGAAGUCGUAACAAGGUACC
rnacentral:rRNA from 1 species